CGGAUUGCAGGCUGCAACUCGCCUGUAUGAAGUCGGAAUUGCUAGUAAUCGCGGAUCAGCAUGCCGCGGUGAAUACGUUCCCGGGCCUUGUACACACCGCCCGUCACACCAUGAGAGCCGGUAACACCCGAAGUCAGUAGCUUAACCGCAAGGGGGGCGCUGCCGAAGGUGGGAUUGGUAAUUGGGGUGAAGUCGUAACAAGGUAGC
rnacentral:rRNA from 1 species